UCCGGUAUGGUGUAACGGCUAACAUUACCGCCUUUCACUCCGCAUGUAAAUGAGUGCGCGGUAGCUCGGGGUUCGAUUCCCCGUACCGGAA